GCAAGUCGAGCGAGACCUUCGGGUCUAGCGGCGGACGGGUGAGUAACGCGUGGGAACGUGCCCUUUGCUACGGAAUAGUCCCGGGAAACUGGGUUUAAUACCGUAUGUGCCCUUCGGGGGAAAGAUUUAUCGGCAAAGGAUCGGCCCGCGUUGGAUUAGGUAGUUGGUGGGGUAAUGGCCCACCAAGCCGACGAUCCAUAGCUGGUUUGAGAGGAUGAUC
rnacentral:rRNA from 1 species